CGUACCCCAAACCGACACAGGUGGACUGGUAGAGCAUACCAAGGCGCUUGAGAGAACUCUGUUGAAGGAACUCGGCAAAUUACUCCCGUAAGUUCGCGAGAAGGGAGCCUGGCAUCAGGCAACUGGUGUCCAGGGGCACAGACCAGGGGGUGGCGACUGUUUAUUAAAAACACAGGGCUCUGCGAAGUCGCAAGACGACGUAUAGGGCCUGACGCCUGCCCGGUGCUGGAAGGUUAAGGAAGGGGGUUAGCUUCGGCGAAGCCCUUAACUGAAGCCCCAGUAAACGGCGGCCG
rnacentral:rRNA from 16 species